CCUACGGGGUGCUGCAGUGGGGAAUAUUGGACAAUGGGCGAAAGCCUGAUCCAGCCAUGCCGCGUGUGUGAAGAAGGCCUUCGGGUUGUAAAGCACUUUCAGUGGGGAAGAAAGCCUUGGGGCUAAUACCCUCGAGGAAGGACAUCACCCACAGAAGAAGCACCGGCUAACUCCGUGCCAGCAGCCGCGGUAAUACGGAGGGUGCGAGCGUUAAUCGGAAUUACUGGGCGUAAAGCGCGCGUAGGCGGUCUGAUAAGCCGGUUGUGAAAGCCCCGGGCUCAACCUGGGAACGGCAUCCGGAACUGUCAGGCUAGAGUGCAGGAGAGGAAGGUAGAAUUCCUGGUGUAGCGGUGAAAUGCGUAGAGAUCGGGAGGAAUACCAGUGGCGAAGGCGGCCUUCUGGACUGACACUGACGCUGAGGUGCGAAAGCGUGGGUAGCAAACAGGAUUAGAUACCCGAGUAGUC
rnacentral:rRNA from 1 species